AUACAAGGAGUCUGGUUUGUUAUUUCAAUGUGCUAAACUCAGCUACCAAGUUUUCGAGAGUCACAACCAAUUACAAUAUCUAAGGAGAAAAUGGCUGCAGCCAAAUCUGCUAUUGGCACUGGACAGACCGACAUCAGUUCACUAGAACCAGUGAAGCCGGCUGACCCUCACGUGAUCCAGAUCGGACAAUUUGUAGUGGAACAAGCUCACCACGGCAAGCUGCUUUUCGUCGCCGUGGUUGGCGGAUUCACGUGGAGCGUCAUUGGAGGCAAUUACUACGCACUUAUCAUUGAAAACCAGGAUUAUGAGGGCGCCACAUAUCUGCACAAAGCACUUGUUUUUGAGACCCCAGAUGGAGUCUUGACACUCAUCUGGCACAAGAAAUAAUCAAACACUGCCGUUGAUCAACUGACUAUCAACGUCUUGAAGUACUUUAAUUAUCUAUCACUGUCUUUGGUGUGGUUUUCAAUUUAUGCAUGGAUGAUGUACUGCUGGCACGCAUACAUCUCCCCACUGUUGUACUAGCAUGUAAGGUGCAGCUGUACCAGCAAAAAUGCACCAUUAAAUAAAAAAUGCCGUCUGCAUUUGUGUUUGUAUCCUUGUUUUAGUAUGUCAAAGGUGCACUUAUGAGAACAAAAAUGCACCAUUAAAUAAAUAAAAACAGCAGUCUGUGUUUGAAUUUGU